rnacentral:rRNA from 1 species
AUGCAUCCUCGUGGCACUGUUGCUCAUGUUUUAUUUGACGUUUCUUCCAUAGUCCUGUCCUCUCUUUUUCCUGAAUCCUCCCCUAACCCAUGCCUGCCGCCGUACAUCAAAUGGUGUUUCUGGAAGACAAAAAGGGGGGAAAAGAAGAAAAAGAAAAGGGGCGAUGAAUGGAUGGGUGGAUGGGUGGAUGGAAGAUUGACUGGGGAACAAGGGAUCUCCCCACUUCCUCUCUUUUCCUUCCACGGGUCAAUUCAAACCUGUCACUUGGUGCAUAGCAGCAGUAGUAGGCUGCUGCUGGUGGUGGUAGUAAACUUGUUCCACCGCUGGUUGUUCAGCUCAUGCAAAGAAAGGCAUGGCAUCAGAUCUCCUCGUCAUCUUCUUCAUGAACUGCCCCUGUCAUGUCAAAAGUUCUUGAUUGGUCAAUUUUCAGAAUUAUAUGUGGCUACUUGUCGCGAUCAGUGA